rnacentral:rRNA from 1 species
GUCCACACGGUAAACGAUGAAUACUCGCUGUUUGCGAUAUACGGCAAGCGGCCAAGCGAAAGCGUUAAGUAUUCCACCUGGGGAGUACGCCGGCAACGGUGAAACUCAAAGGAAUUGACGGGGGCCCGCACAAGCGGAGGAACAUGUGGUUUAAUUCGAUGAUACGCGAGGAACCUUACCCGGGCUUAAAUUGCAGAUGAAUUACGGUGAAAGCCGUAAGCCGCAAGGCAUCUGUGAAGGUGCUGCAUGGUUGUCGU